UACGUAGGGGGCAAGCGUUAUCCGGAAUUACUGGGUGUAAAGGGCGAGUAGGCGGGAUUGCAAGUCAGAUGUGAAAACUAUGGGCUCAACCGAUAGAGUGCAUUUGAAACUGCAGUUCUUGAGUGAUGGAGAGGCAGGCGGAAUUCCCGGUGUAGCGGUGGAAUGCGUAGAUAUCGGGAGGAACACCAGUGGCGAAGGCGGCCUGCUGGACAUUAACUGACGCUGAGGCGCGAAAGCGUGGGGAGCAAACAGG
rnacentral:rRNA from 1 species